CUCCGUAGGGGUAACCUGCGGAGGGAUCAUUACUGAGUUUGGGCUCUAUAACCCUUUGUGAACAUACCUAUAACUGUUGCUUCGGCGGGUAGGGUCUCCGCGACCCUCCCGGCCUCCCGCCUCCGGGCGGGUCGGCGCCCGCCGGAGGAUAACCAAACUCUGAUUUAACGACGUUUCUUCUGAGUGGUACAAGCAAAUAAUCAAAACUUUUAACAACGGAUCUCUUGGUUCUGGCAUCGAUGAAGAACGCAGCGAAAUGCGAUAAGUAAUGUGAAUUGCAGAAUUCAGUGAAUCAUCGAAUCUUUGAACGCACAUUGCGCCCGCCAGCAUUCUGGCGGGCAUGCCUGUUCGAGCGUCAUUUCAACCCUCAAGCUCUGCUUGGUGUUGGGGCCCUACAGCUGAUGUAGGCCCUCAAAGGUAGUGGCGGACCCUCCCGGAGCCUCCUUUGCGUAGUAACUUUACGUCUCGCACUGGGAUCCGGAGGGACUCUUGCCGUAAAACCCCCCAAUUUUCCAAAGGUUGACCUCGGAUCAGGUAGGA
rnacentral:rRNA from 1 species